CCUACGGGAGGCAGCAGUGGGGAAUUUUGGACAAUGGGCGCAAGCCUGAUCCAGCAAUGCCGCGUGCAGGAUGAAGGCCUUCGGGUUGUAAACUGCUUUUGUACGGAACGAAACGGUCUGCUUUAAUACAGUGGGCUAAUGACGGUACCGUAAGAAUAAGCACCGGCUAACUACGUGCCAGCAGCCGCGGUAAUACGUAGGGUGCGAGCGUUAAUCGGAAUUACUGGGCGUAAAGCGUGCGCAGGCGGUUAUAUAAGACAGAUGUGAAAUCCCCGGGCUCAACCUGGGACCUGCAUUUGUGACUGUAUAGCUAGAGUACGGUAGAGGGGGAUGGAAUUCCGCGUGUAGCAGUGAAAUGCGUAGAUAUGCGGAGGAACACCGAUGGCGAAGGCAAUCCCCUGGACCUGUACUGACGCUCAUGCACGAAAGCGUGGGGAGCAAACAGGAUUAGAUACCCUGGUAGUCCACGCCCUAAACGAUGUCAACUGGUUGUUGGGUCUUCACUGACUCAGUAACGAAGCUAACGCGUGAAAGUUGACCGCCUGGGGAAGUACGGCCGCAAGGUUGAAACUUCAAAUUGAAUUGACGGCNGAGAGNGCGAGACGACACGAGGAGGAGG
rnacentral:rRNA from 1 species